rnacentral:lncRNA from 1 species
UAGAUUGCUGGUGUUGAUGAUUGCGUUCUGCUCUCCGGCUCACCGUAGAGAAACGGAACGUUGGUAAUCGUUGUCCAUGUUCACUCACUGUCUAGGGCCUCUCAUUGUAGCGAACAAAACAAAAUGAAUUCUACGAAGAGGAAGAAAAAUAAACAGCGAUGAUUGUUCAAUGCGACGUUCAAAACUCUUGGAUCUUCCUUAAAUUCGGAAUAAUUGGAAAAAAAAUGCUUAAUUAUAGAAACACUACCUAAACUAUAAUGUUUUGUCAUUAUCACCCCUUAAUUAAAAACCCGAUCACUUACGCUCCUUAACUAUUGAAAAUUGUCACUAACACCCUUUCCGUCUCAUUCUGUCAGUAAGUAGUCAAAAAAGCCAACCAAAAUCUAUGAACUUAGUUGAGCUGAAGUAUACACAAAAUUUGUAAAAUACCUAGUAACACCCCAAAGGGAGAUCUCUCAGCUAAACUACGCCCAAAA